GCGGGUAUAGCUCAGUUGGUUAGAGCGGCGGUUUGUGGUACCGUAGGUCGAGGGUUCAAGUCCCUCUACUCGCCCCA
rnacentral:tRNA from 1 species